rnacentral:rRNA from 3 species
UACGUAGGUGGCAAGCGUUGUCCGGAAUUAUUGGGCGUAAAGGGCGCGCAGGCGGCUUCUUAAGUCUGUCUUAAAAGUGCGGGGCUUAACCCCGUGAUGGGAUGGAAACUGGGAAGCUCAGAGUAUCGGAGAGGAAAGCGGAAUUCCUAGUGUAGCGGUGAAAUGCGUAGAUAUUAGGAGGAACACCAGUGGCGAAAGCGGCUUUCUGGACGAAAACUGACGCUGAGGCGCGAAAGCCAGGGGAGCGAACGGG